GAGUGUGCGGCCGAUGGCGGAGCGGGCGCGGCGGCCGGCGCAGCGGGGAGAGAUGCAGCAGUCGCCGCGGCGGCGAGCGGCCAGAGCUGCGGCGGCGGAGGGCGAAGUCGGUGGAGGGCGAGUGCGGCUGCGAAGCAGGCAGGACGGGCGGCUGUCUCCCGGCCGGUCAUCGGCGCCGCCCAAGAAGUACAACGCCACCCGCUGCAGCGUGCUGUUCGACGCCGUCGCGCACGCCGACCCUGCCGCCAGGCCGUGGUCGAUCAGGAUGCCCACCGAGCACAGCGCGUACUACAUCGCCGACCGGUUGAUGGCGCGGAUUGCGUUGUUGGCCGUGCUCCGGGCGCCGUCCGACGACUUGUGGAAGGGGAGCAGGAUGAGGUUGGCCUUGCAGCUGUGCAUCAGGAGGCACACGUCGUGGUGCAUGCUGCUGUACAGCGACACCACCACGUACGGGCUCACCGUCACCGCGCCCAGCGGCGCCUGCUGCUCGAAGCAGCGGAACGUGUUGACGAUGUAGUCGGACGGCGUCGGGUUGCCGCUACAGGCUCAGCUCUCCGUCGCUCCGCCUGCCUGCUCGCCCACCGUCGCCGCUGGUAGCCGCGCUCCCCAAUCGCCGCCCGCCGCCUGCUCCGCUCUCCACCACUCCGCCUGCCUGCAUGUCCACCGCCGGCACUAGCAGCCACGCUCGCCCGCCGCCGCCCGUCCUGCCUGCUUCGCAGCCGCGCUAGCCCGCCGCCGACUCUGCUCUCCGCCGCCGCCGCUCCGGCCCCUCGCCGCCGCGGCUACUUCUGCAUCUCUCUCCGCUGCGCGUGACCGCCACGCCCGCUCCGCCGUCGGCCGCACACACGCAUAUGCCCGCCUGCGCGUGAGAGGUUGGGAAGAGAAGAGAAAAUAAAAGAAAAAAUAGAUGUGGGCCCAAUCAUUUUCUCUCACUGACAUAUGGGCCCCAUAUAUUUAUUUUAUUAUUUUUGCUGACUAGGAUGCCACGUCAGCAAAACCAGGUAUCUAUACUGACUUGGGACCUAAAUUAGACGGUUUUGUAUAGUUUAGGAGUGAAGAUUUCUGGUUUUGUGGUUAAGGGACUUUACAAAAUCAAAUCUCACUGUUAAGUUGAGGGACCUCCGAUGAACUUAUUCCUAGUCAAAAUCAUGUGAGGGCUGAAAAGCCCAAGAAGGCCGAAUGCCUAAAUUUAGCUCGGCCGUGAGGGGAGAACAGCUCGGCACGUUCUAAUUCGCCGCCUCGCCUAACCAAAACGCGUCCCUUUCCUCGCUUUCCUCCCGUUUAUAAGCGACGCGUGGUGGAGGCGGCCGGAAGCGCCCAGAACCAGAAGAGAGGUCUGCCCCGUGGUCAAGCCGUGCCGCGUCGUCGUCUCCCUCGCCUUUCCCCUCCGCUCCGCUUCGCCGAUCAAGGACGACGAUAUAGCUAUGUCAAUUGAUGAUGAAAUAAUGAAUGAUGUUUGACAAGGAGCUGAUCAGCUGAAGCCAUGCCAGCUUGUGAGCUUGGUGUUCUCGAAGACUUCAAAUCUAUAUCCUAAAAAAAGUCGGACAAUAUUAGUUAUGCUGUAAUCCUAUCAUGUAAGCCACAUUGUAUGCUUUAGCCACAUUGAUGUUGAAGUAUCAUUGAACUUUAUUUAUAUUAUUUAUCAAUCUUAUUGUCAACUUAUUAAUCAUCAUAUAACGGUGUUGUGUGGCAGCGUAAUGAUGCAAGGGUGAAAUUAUAAGGUCAUCUUCAUACAUAGUUAAAUGCGGGAUGAUACCACAGUUCGCUGUUUCCGACAUGAAUUUUCGACUUCCGUCCGAUAUCGGUAUAUUCCCGUUCCGACGGUUCCGUUUCCAAGAUACCGAUAUAACCGAUAUCGUUACCGUU